rnacentral:rRNA from 1 species
GAUGAACGCUGGCGGAGUGCCUAACACAUGCAAGUCGAGCGGCAGCGCGAGUAGUUUACUACUUGGCGGCGAGCGGCGGACGGCUGAGUAACGCGUGGGAACAUGCCCCAAAGUGAGGAAUAACUGCCCGAAAGGGUAGCUAAUGCCGCAUACGAUCUUCGGAUUAAAGGAUUUAUCCGCUUUGGGAGUGGCCUGCGUACGAUUAGAUAGUUGGCGAGGUAAUGGCUCACCAAGUCUACGAUCGUUAACUGGUUUGAGAGGAUGAUCAGUCAGACUGGAACUGAGACACGGUCCAGACUCCUACGGGAGGCAGCAGUGAGGAAUCUUCCACAAUGGACGAAAGUCUGAUGGAGCAACUCCGCGUGCAGGAUGAAGGCCUUCGGGUCGUAAACUGCUUUAUGAGUGAAGAAUAUGACGGUAACUCAUGAAUAAGGGUACGGCUAACUAACGUGCCAGCAGCCG